UUUAACACUACUUGUCUCAAGAAGAACUAGUACCUUUAGUUUCCCAGUAGCCUUAGCCAUUUUUUCAUAUCCUAAAUGCAUCAUAAAGAAUGGCAAAGCAUCUUGGGCCUUCUUCCGUACAUCUCCAUUUCGAUCUUCUAGACAGGAAUACAGAUGAGGAACACAAAGGAUAAUAUCUGUGGGAGUGGAACGGAGCGUAGGUAGUUUCUCUGCCAGCCAUCCCAGAAGCUGCCAAAAGAAAAGACCAGUGAAAUAUUUUAAAGGUCAGAAGAGGGAGUUGGAGCCCUGAGAACUUAAGUCACAGACAGUUGAAAGCCACCAUGGAGGAGCCAGGAACCAUGCCUGGAUUCUUUACAAGAGCAGCUCUUAACUACUGUGCCACGUUUCCAUCCUCUAAGACUCUUCCUUUAGCAAAAACUCUACAGCCUUUCUAGAACCCCAAAGCCCAACACUUAUCUAAAUUCAUAGGAAGCAGAAAGAAAAGGAAUUAUCAAUGGAGGGAAGAGAAAUCAGUGUACACUUCAUUCUUCAAUCCUUUGACUAUUCUCCCUACUACCUUUAUCUGAAGAAAAGGUUUUUGGUUUUUUGAUUUUUCAAGAAAGGAUUUCUUGUGUAGUCCUGUCUGUCUGGACCCCUUUCUGUAGACCAGGC